AAUAAAGUAGUAUUCAAAUUUGCAUGCAUUCAAUUAUAAGCUAAUACAUCAUCACUUUUGUCCGUACAUCGUCGAAUAUUAUCAUUAAUACUCCUCGAAUACUAUCAUACAUAUAGCAUCACUAAUACAUGUAGAACCGUAGCGCCUGACGGGUAUCGGCGCGGGCGGUGGACACCCAAAGAGAAGGAACCAUCACAGGAUCAUAGCUCCAGUGAGAUCCCCGAAGAACCUGCCAGGUAUGAUUGAACCUGCCCUCCAACGCAACCAUGUAGCAACGGACGUGCUCAUCCUCCUCGCUGACACGGUGACGUACCACCUCCGCGGUGUCCGGAAGCCUCGGCACCCUCACUGGCCCACGCGACCGCCACCAAACAAGGAUCGGGUCAACGACGGGCUGGCUCCUCACCAACCUACGCCCCCCGGAAGGUAGCCCCUCCCAAUACCAGCCGGGCGGAGCCCAGUCCCGGACAGGGCCCCUCUGAUCAAGCAGGUGUCCUCCGCCGAGUCGACGACGAGGAUGCGGGAUAGGCAUCGUAAAAUGAACUAAAAAGAUAAACUAGUUCUAUUAAUUUUCUUGCUAAAAAUAACUAUUAACACUUAAGCAUAUACAAUAGCAAAAUUAACUAUUAAUAAUAGCAAAACUAAACUAUUACAAUAGCAAAAUUAAACUAUUAAUAAUAGCAAAAUUAAGCAAUAAUCUUAUUUUCUUAUUUUUGUUCAUAUUUCUUCUUCUUGUCACCCUAACCUAAUUCUAAAUAUUACUAACCCUAAUAANNNNNNNNNNNNNNNNNNNNNNNNNNNNNNNNNNNNNNNNNNNNNNNNNNNNNNNNNNNNNNNNNNNNNNNNNNNNNNNNNNNNNNNNNNNNNNNNNNNNNNNNNNNNNNNNNNNNNNNNNNNNNNNNNNNNNNNNNNNNNNNNNNNNNNNNNNNNNNNNNNNNNNNNNNNNNNNNNNNNNNNNNNNNNNNNNNNNNNNNNNNNNNNNNNNNNNNNNNNNNNNNNNNNNNNNNNNNNNNNNNNNNNNNNNNNNNNNNNNNNNNNNGGGGAGGAGGGGGCGGGGGGCUUACCGACCGGAGGUGUCCACGACGGCGAGGAGGACGGCGGCGGCGGGGAGGACGGCAGGCUGCGACGAGGAGGACAGCGGGUAGCCUGACGGCGUCGGUUACGUUCGUCGCUAUGCCGCGCCGGGCAGGAGAACGAGAGAAAGAAGAAGAGAAAUGGACGAAUUGGGUUGGAAAUUUUCGAAGUCCCGCUUAUAUAGGUGGAUCUAUAUUACCGGUGCGUGGCUCGGGCCGGGACUAAAGACCCCCUUUAGUCCCGGGUGGAGCCACGACCCGGGACUAAAGGCCUCUUUUCGGGAAGACCAAGAGGCGGGAAGCAGGGGGUCUUUAGUCCCAGUGCGUGGCUCCACCCGGGACUAAAGCCCCUCCUCGGCUGCACGAUAAGUUUAGUCCCACCUCGCCCAGCGAGGGGGACUAACACUUGUUUAUAAGCCCCGUCGUAGCUUGUCCAUCGAGCUCCUCUCUAAAGCAGUCUUACGGGCCUAAACUUACUGAAAAUUGAAACUAUAUUCGAAACUGUGGAUAAAAUUCAAUCUGAAUUCAAAGUGAAUUGAGGUCGAAUUUUGUCCAUGAUUUCUCAUAUAGUUUCAAUUUUUUUCUAUUUUCAAAAUUAAUUAUUUUGACUAUCCAAACUAUUAACUUAUUUUGUUAUUUUCAAUUAAAAACUAUGUUUUUUAAAAACUCUUUUUGCAUAUUUGAGAAUUUGACAAAACUAUGAUAAUGAAAAGCGUUUGAAAUUGAAUAAAUAAUUCAAAACUAUUUUCUAUUUUCAAAAUUAAUAAUUUUGACUAUCCAAACUAUUAACUUAUUUUGUUAUUUUCAAUUAAAAACUAUGUUUAUUAAAAAUUCUGUUUGCAUAUUUGAGAAUUUGACAAAACUAUGAUAAUGAAAAGUGUUUCAAAUGGAAUAAAUAAUGCAAAACUAUUUUUUAUUUUCAUAAUUAAUAAUUAUGACUAUCCAAACUAUUAUCUAUUUUUUAUUUUCAAUUAAAAACUAUGUUUAUUAAAAAUUCUUUUUGCAUAUUUGAGAAUUUGACAAAACUAUGAUAAUGAAAAGUGUUUCAAAUUGAAUAAAUAAUGCAAAACUAUUUUUUAUUUUCAUAAUUAAUAAUUUUGACUAUCCAAACUAUUAUCUAUUUUGUUAUUUUCAAUUAAAAACUAUGUUUAUGAAAAAUUCUUUUUGCAUAUUUGAGAAUUUGACAAAACUAUGAUAAUGAAAAGUGUUUCAAAUUGAAUAAAUAAUGAAAACUAUUUUUUAUUUUAAUAAUUAAUAAUUUUGACUAUCCAAACUAUUAUCUAUUUUGUUAUUUUCAAUUAAAAACUAUGUUUAUUAAAAAUUCUUUUUGCAUAUUUGAGAAUUUGACAAAACUAUGAUAAUAAAAAGUGUUUCAAAUUGAAUAAAUAAUGCAAAACUAUUUUUUAUUUUCAUAAUUAAUAAUUUUGACAAUCCAAACUAUUAUCUAUUUUGUUAUUCUGACUUCAUUUGGUAUAUUUCGUGCAUUUACUUAUUUGUUUUUGAGCUAGUUGACCCUGAAAUUGAAAAGCACUACAAAUGAACUCUCAAAAUGUUGAAAGUUGGCAUGCUAUCAUCAUUUCACCCACAUAGAAUGUGUUAAAAAGUUGAGAGGGCUAUGACAAAAACUGGAUGCACUUCGUGUACAAAACUGACAAUCUCUCUCGAAGUAGCAGGGUUUCGAACGAGAACUCAUCUCUUACAAAGGGAUUUCAUUUUUUUGAACUUAUUUGAACUCCAUACUUUUUUUGUGUUCAAAAUGCACCAUUCAAAGGCACAUCACAAAGGGAUUUCUUCUUCUCUCAUAUAUGGUGAACACUAGCUCACCUGAUUUUUCAACCGUCGAUGAUGGUCGCUACUCCUACUUCCCCUAGUGCAUAACCAAUAUCUAGCACAAGGAGAAGAAGGAGAAGUGAUUGUUUUAAUCAAAAACAGAUCUGUUACAAAAGGGAUUUCAUUUUUUGAACUUAUUUGAACUGAAGACUUUUUGUAUAUAUAUGUGGUCGAAAUGCAUGAUACCAUGAAGUUAGAAAGGGCUAAACCAUUCAAAAGUAGCAAAUGAAGUUAGAAAGGGCUAAACCAUUCAAAUUUGGAAACUAUAAUGGCACAAACAGAAACUAGACAUAUAUAAAUUGGUCCAAGAAGUACAUGAUACUAGUCCAAACAGUACAUAAUAAUAGCUACAAUAGAUAUAUAUACAAGUGUUCGACGUUAAGAACACUACUCGUCUGAAUCAUCUGAAUCAGAAUGUCCACCUUCCUUGAGGUGACGCUGGCCAUAGUGGACGACUCGAAUCUUGCGAUACAACUCGUAUGAAACAUAUGCAUCUUUUGCUGCAUACUCAAUGUUGAUAUCAUCAAGUGGGCCCUUCUCCCAAAGUCUGUGCUGAGACUUUGGGAAACUGGUCUUCAUAUCAGCAUAUGAAUCGUCGAGCAAGGCAACUGCCAUAUGAGCCAUCAAAGUCCUGUCAUGUCGAAGCCUGAAUAUCGUUUGGAGAUCAACGAGGCAACCAGCUAGUAUCUCAAUACCGAAGCUGUGCCUCAUCUUCAGCUUGUCGUUCCUUAUGUCAACGGAAGCAAAAGUGAUGCCUCUGUGAAGGAAGUCCAUGAGUUCUGGACAAUGCUUGUCACUCCUGCAACAGAAACAAAUUAAAAUGGAACAAAUGUUACAUACUGCUGCAAUAAGGAAACAUGUUUCACUACAACUAAAGAGAAACUUAUCUUUAGGAUUCAAAUAGAACAUAUGCAAUGGAACCUAGAGAGAUCACUAUAGCUAUCCAAUGGAACCUAGAGAGAUCACUAGCUAUAUGCAAUUUUCAUGACUAUGACAUAUCAUAUUGCUAUCCAAUGGAACCUAGAGAGAUCACUAGCUAUAUUCAAUUUUCACAUUAUGGAACACUAUUCCAAUCAGAUUGUGUUCCCUUCAACUAAUCAAAAUUGUUUCACUACAACUAUUUGAAGCGAACCAACUAUGAUUCCAUUGGAACAUAUUAAACACUAGUUGAUUCUAAUACGAUUUUUCAGAUUAUGGAACACUAUUCCAAUGAGAUUGUGUUUCCUUCAACUAAUCAAAAUUGUUUCACUACAACUAUUUGAAGGGAAGCAACUAUGAUUCCAAUGGAACAUAUUAAACACUAGUUGAUUCUAAUUCGAUUUUUUAGAUUAUGGAACACUAUUCCAAUGAGAUUGUGCUCCCCUUCAACUAAUCAAAAUUGUUUCACUACAACUAUUUGAAGGGAACCAACUAUGAUUCCAAUGGAACAUAUUAAACACUAGUUGAUUCUAAUACGAUUUUUCAGAUUAUGGAACACUAUUCCAAUUAGAUUGUGCUCCCCUUCAACUAAUCAAAAUUGUUUCACUACAACUAUUUGAAGGGAACCAACUAUGAUUGAAACAAAUAAACUUACAAUGUCAUUAUCUUGAAUCAAAGAAAGCCUCAAAACUUACUUCGCCCAUUGGAAGAUCAAGACAUGGCGUUGGAAGCAUAGCUGGAUGACGGCAACACCACGUUGAUCGGCCGUGUACUCCAGAUCAAGCCCCAAGAAAUUCUCAUGAUCCGUUGCGUGGUCAAACCAUUUUCCUUCAACUGUUGAAGAAAAAACGGCACCUCCUUGCUCAGGUUUGUGAACACGACAUCGAGCAUCGUCGUGCCAUGUGCGAGCACCAUACGAAAGCUAGUUGGCAUGGUGGAAGAACAGAGGAGAAGAACACAGAGGGCGACGCGAGAGAGAAGAAGAACAGAGAGGGCGACGCGAGAGAGAAGAAGAACAGAGAAAUGGCGACUGUACGCUUCGGUUCGUGCUUUUCAUCGCCCGAAACGACGCGGGAUACAAACCGUUUGGGCCUCUAGUCCCGGGUUGAGCCACCAACCGGGACUAAAGGGGGAUGCCAAACGGUUGCCACCACUACGGCAGGCCACGUGUUAGGCCUUUAGUCCCGGGUUGAGCCACCAACCGGGACUAAAGAGGUAUACCAACGGUCGCCACCACUACGGCAGGCCACGUGUUAGGCCUUUAGUCCCGGGUUGAACCACCCAACCGGGACUAAAGAGGUAUACCAUCGGUCGCCACCACUACGGCAGGCCACGUGUUAGUCCUUUAGUCCCGGCUUAACCCGCCAACCGGGACUAAAGGGGGAUACGAACGGUUGCCACCACCACUGCCCGCCGCGUAGCCCUUUAGUCCCAGUUUGCGACACGAACCGGGACGAAAGGCUCCUUACGGGCCGGGACUAAAGCCUCGAGGGAGGCAUUGAGAAUUGGGGCGAUGUGGCCGGGCCUUUAGUCCCGGCCCAGAGGCAGGCCGGGACUAAAUGGUCCAGGCCAAAGGCCCGUUUUCCACUAGUGCUUACCAAGGUCGCUCAAGUGAAAAUAGAUAAUGUUGCAUCUUUCAUGGAUUGUCAAUUUGUCAUACUUGUUCUCGUUUUAGGUUACGUGCCAAGUGCCAAGGAAAGGACCAAAUAACUGGUUCCCCAAGCCAAACAGAUCUGCCCCAGUUAGCUUUGAUCUUUUAGUCAUGUGUCGCUGGGUACUCCAGGAGUCCAAGUUAUGUGCAACUUUCCUCCUAGUAGGCAUGCUUCAGCACGCCAUUCAAAUUACUGCAGUACGAUUUGGUUUUCAUUGCAAAAUAUUGUGGUGGUGGUUAACCCGGCAGGCGUAACACACCUGAUUAGCGAACCCUAACAGCUAGCAACGGCUGAUGAUAACAUGUACAUCACCAGAUUCCAAAGCAAAAGAACAUGGCUGGAACAUGCUGAAAACACGUUUCGAUCAAAUUGCACGACACUUCCAUUUUGGCACCGGACAGCAUCCCUCGAUCAAACGAGCACACACUAAUUUUUAUCUGGAUGCAUUAGAAGGUGAUCGGACUGAAUGCAAGAAUCCUGCCAUUUUGAAAAGAAACGGAAAAAAUCACUGCCUCACGAAUGAUCCUCUUACAACCACAGAAGAUUCCCUUCAACAACUUAACAGGCUCUUCAAGUUAAAUACACAGAACCACCACGUAAGCGUCAUAGCUCUCAAAAAAUCAUCAUUUUAUAAAACAUGACGCUUUGCAUGGUAGCAGAAUUUUGACAUUGACAAAAAUAUCACUAAUCCAAAAUGCUAAACGCUUCGUUCACGUCACUAAUCGACUGGGCCACAUGUCGGGCUUAGUUGGAAAAGGAAGAUCAAGUUUAAUUUGUCUAUGUGGCAUUUAUUUCCUGCCAACUCAGCCCGGCAUGUGGCCCUAACCGAUUAGUGACGUCAGUGAAGCGCCUAGCAUUACGGAUCAAUGUUUUUUGUCACUGUCAAAAUUCUAAUGUGGUACGAAGUGUCAUGUGUUUUUGUAAAGUAAUGAGUUUCUAAGAGCUAUGACGGUAAUGUGGUGGUUUUGUGCAUUUAACUCCACGCUUUCCCGCAAAAAAACAACAACUUAGCAAGCUGCUUCCUCACAGAAGUUAUCUUGUAUUGUACUCCAAUAUCUCAAGCAUACUCUAUACAAUAGACGAUGCCCCGACGCGUUGCUGCGGGAAACAUGCUAAAAGAAUACAUGAAAGUUGCUCAUGUCGUGUGGUUGCAUUUCUAGUAAAUAUAGCUAGUGGGUGCUAGCUAUUUAGAAAUAGAAGAUACGCAAAGGAAACAUAUGUGUCCACUUUAUUUAUUGUUCUCAAGAACAGUAGCAAGAGUUAGAACGGGUUAAAUCGUAUACGGCUAUGACAGACAUAAACUUGGAUGCUCGAAAAACUGGCCAACAUGGGAUAGCACUUACUGCCGGUGACACCUUGCUGAUGGUGGUUUUGACUUCUCUCUCCCUCCCCUCUUCGCCAAGUGUGUCUCGCCGCCAAUCUCCUCAGCCUGCACAUUCAGCCGAGCACCACCUACCCCUCAAUGCAACUGCUUCAUAAUUCGUCCAUCACCUCUCCUCAACAAGAGAUUGUGUGGGCACAUGAUGCGGUUCAUGACACGGGACAGCACACCCAUGGCACUCCGCCGCGGUUGGAUGCGGCCAAGAAUCAUCGGUGUGGCACCGGGAUCCUGGUCAACAGAGGAGACAUUGCACGUGUGGUGUGCAAUUGACUUGCUAUCAGUUGCCUUUGUUAUCUAACACUGAAUUCUUCAUUCGUGUUGUCCUAAGAUGGAUGUAACAGUACCUACCCUAUUCAGACUAUGAUUCACCAACAUAUGGUGCACAGACUGUGCGCCACCGCACAUCUUUAACCUUGAACCUUUUGGUGUACUCCAAUAUCUCAUACACUAUAAAACAUGGAGAAAUAUAUGCAUCAACUUAUAAAUUCUCAGUGGCGAUAG
rnacentral:lncRNA from 1 species